CCCCCCUCAAGAUGAGAUUUCCCAGUAUGUAAGACCCCUUGAAGACGACGAGGUAGAUAGGUUGGAGGUGGAAGCACGGCAACGUGUGGAGCUGACCAAUACUAAUCGGUCGAGGGCUUAUCCAAAA
rnacentral:rRNA from 1 species